rnacentral:rRNA from 1 species
GACGAACGCUGGCGGCGUGCUUAACACAUGCAAGUCGAACGGAAAGGCCCUGCUUUUGUGGGGUGCUCGAGUGGCGAACGGGUGAGUAACACGUGAGUAACCUGCCCUUGACUUUGGGAUAACUUCAGGAAACUGGGGCUAAUACCGGAUAGGAGCUCCUGCUGCAUGGUGGGGGUUGGAAAGUUUCGGCGGUUUGGGAUGGACUCGCGGCUUAUCAGCUUGUUGGUGGGGUAGUGGCUUACCAAGGCUUUGACGGGUAGCCGGCCUGAGAGGGUGACCGGCCACAUUGGGACUGAGAUACGGCCCAGACUCCUACGGGAGGCAGUAGUGGGGAAUAUUGCACAAUGGGCGGAAGCCUGAUGCAGCAACGCCGCGUGCGGGAUGACGGCCUUCGGGUUGUAAACCGCUUUCGCCUGUGACGAAGCGUGAGUGACGGUAAUGGGUAAAGAAGCACCGGCUAACUACGUG